rnacentral:rRNA from 1 species
UACGGAGGGUGCAAGCGUUAUCCGGAUUCACUGGGUUUAAAGGGUGCGUAGGUGGGUCGGUAAGUCAGUGGUGAAAUCUCUGGGCUUAACCCGGAAACUGCCAUUGAUACUAUCGAUCUUGAAUAUCGCGUAGGUAAGCGGAAUAUGUCAUGUAGCGGUGAAAUGCUUAGAUAUGACAUAGAACACCAAUUGCGAAGGCAGCUUACUUCACGAUCAUUGACACUGAGGCACGAAAGCGUGGGGAGCAAAC